GAUGGACGCUGGCGGCGUGCCUAAUACAUGCAAGUCGAGCGAACGGACGAGAAGCUUGCUUCUCUGAUGUUAGCGGCGGACGGGUGAGUAACACGUGGAUAACCUACCUAUAAGACUGGGAUAACUUCGGGAAACCGGAGCUAAUACCGGAUGAUAUUUUGAACCGCAUGGUUCAAAAGUGAAAGACGGUCUUGCUGUCACUUAUAGAUGGAUCCGCGCUGCAUUAGCUAGUUGGUAAGGUAACGGCUUACCAAGGCAACGAUGCAUAGCCGACCUGAGAGGGUGAUCGGCCACACUGGAACUGUGACACGGUCCAGACUCCUACGGGAGGCAGCAGUAGGGAAUCUUCCGCAAUGGGCGAAAGCCUGACGGAGCAACGCCGCGUGAGUGAUGAAGGUCUUCGGAUCGUAAAACUCUGUUAUUAGGGAAGAACAUAUGUGUAAGUAACUGUGCACAUCUUGACGGUACCUAAUCAGAAAGCCACGGCUAACUACGUG
rnacentral:rRNA from 1 species